CCCGCUCAGAAACUACAAGGAAGUUGACGGGGCCCGCACAAGCGGAGGAGCAUGUGGUUUAAUUCGAUGAUACGCGAGGAACCUUACCUGGGCUCGAACGUAAGAUGACUGUAGGUGAAAGCUUACAUCUCUUCGGAGCAUUUUACGAGGUGCUGCAUGGUUGUCGUCAGCUCGUGCCGUGAGGUGUCGGGUUAAGUCCCAUAACGAGCGCAACCCCUACCUUUAGUUGCCAUCAGGUAAUGCUGGGGACUCUAAAGGAACUGCCUACGCAAGUAGUGAGGAAGGCGGGGAUGACGUCAAAUCAGCACGGCCCUUACGUCCAGGGCUACACACGUGCUACAAUGGCCGAUACAGAGGGCAGCUACCUGGUGACAGGAUGCAAAUCUCCAAAGUCGGUCUCAGUUCGGAUCGGAGUCUGCAACCCGACUCCGUGAAGUUGGAUUCGCUAGUAAUCGCGCAUCAGCCAUGGCGCGGUGAAUACGUUCCCGGGCCUU
rnacentral:rRNA from 1 species